GACGAACGCUGGCGGCGUGCCUAAUACAUGCAAGUUGAGCGCUGAAGGUUGGUUCUUGUACCAACUGGAUGAGCAGCGAACGGGUGAGUAACGCGUGGGGAAUCUGCCUUUGAGCGGGGGACAACAUUUGGAAACGAAUGCUAAUACCGCAUAAAAACUUUAAACACAAGUUUUAAGUUUGAAAGAUGCAAUUGCAUCACUCAAAGAUGAUCCCGCGUUGUAUUAGCUAGUUGGUGAGGUAAAGGCUCACCAAGGCGAUGAUACAUAGCCGACCUGAGAGGGUGAUCGGCCACAUUGGGACUGGGACACGGCCCAAACUCCUACGGGAGGCAGCAGUAGGGAAUCUUCGGCAAUGGACGAAAGUCUGACCGAGCAACGCCGCGUGAGUGAAGAAGGUUUUCGGAUCGUAAAACUCUGUUGGUAGAGAAGAACGUUGGUGAGAGUGGAAAGCUCAUCAAGUGACGGUAACUACCCAGAAAGGGACGGCUAACUACGUG
rnacentral:rRNA from 1 species